AUACGUAGGGGGCGAGCGUUGUCCGGAAUGAUUGGGCGUAAAGGGCGCGUAGGCGGCCCGGUAAGUCUGGAGUGAAAGUCCUGUUUUUGAGAUGGGAAUUGCUUUGGAUACUGUCGGGCUUGAGUGCAGGAGAGGUAAGUGGAAUUCCCAGUGUAGCGGUGAAAUGCGUAGAGAUUGGGAGGAACACCAGUGGCGAAGGCGACUUACUGGACUGUAACUGACGCUGAGGCGCGAAAGUGUGGGGAGCAAACAGGAUUAGAUACCCUGGUAGUCCACACUGUAAACGAUGAAUGCUAGGUGUAGGGGGUAUCGACCCCUUCUGUGCCGCAGUCAACACAAUAAGCAUUCCGCCUGGGGAGUACUGCCGCAAGGUUGAAACUCAAAGGAAUUGACGGGG
rnacentral:rRNA from 1 species